AACGAACGCUGGCGGCAUGCCUAACACAUGCCAGUCGAACGAGACCUUCGGGUCUAGUGGCGCACGGGUGCGUAACGCGUGGGAACCUGCCCUUAGGUUCGGAAUAACUCCCCGAAAGGGGUGCUAAUACCGGAUAAUGUCUUCGGACCAAAGAUUUAUCGCCUUUGGAUGGUCCCGCGUUGGAUUAGCUAGUUGGUAGGGUAAAAGCCUACCAAGGCGACGAUCCAUAGCUGGUCUGAGAGGAUGAUCAGCCACACUGGGACUGAGACACGGCCGAGACUCCUACGGGAGGCAGCAGUGGGGAAUAUUGGACAAUGGGCGAUAGCCUGAUCCAGCAAUGCCGCGUGAGUGAUGAAGGCCUUAGGGUUGUAAAGCUCUUUUACCCGGGAUGAUAAUGACAGUACCGGGAGAAUAAGCGCCGGCUAACUCCGUG
rnacentral:rRNA from 1 species